UAAACACAUCUGGUGACACUCCCCGAUCACAGUUUCGUUACACGGCGCUUACUCCUGGAUUCAUUCGAGCAUCUCUGGUUAUAUUUUCUGUCAUCCGGACACAGUACUGGGAAGGGCAACACUGUUUUCAGUGCAUUCAUUUCUGUUUUGUUUUGUGAACACACCCCCCCCCCCCCCAGCCCAUGUGACGACAUGAGGCCGUAGCGUCGUCCUGAUGCGGGGGGGUUCCAUCAUGGCGUCGAUGCAGAAAAGGCUACAAAAGGAACUAAUGGCUUUGCAAAAUGAUCCGCCCCCUGGAAUGACUCUCAAUGAGAAAAGUGUCCAGAAUACCAUCACACAGUGAGUAUACACCCAGUAGUAUACACCCAAUAGUAUACACCCAGUAGUAUACACCCUGUAGUAUACACCCAGUAGUAUACACCCAGUAGUAUACACCCAAUAGUAUACACCCAAUAGUAUACACCCAGUAGUAUACACCCAAUAGUAUACACCCAGUAGUAUACACCCAGUAGUAUACACCCAAUAGUAUACACCCAGUAGUAUACACCCAAUAGUAUACACCCAGUAGUAUACACCCAGCAGUAUACAUCCAGUAGUAUACAUGCAGUAGUGUACAUGCAGUAGUGUACAUGCAGUAGUGUACACCCAGUAGAGUACACCCAGUAGAAUACACCCAGUAGAGUACACCCAGUAGUAUACGUCCAGUAGUAUACACACGGUGAGUAUACGUCCAGUAGUAUACAUCCAGUAGUAUACACACGGUGAGUAUACAUCCAGUAGUAUACACCCAGUGAGUAUACACCCAGUGAGUAUACACCCAGUGAGUAUACACCCAGUGAGUAUACACCCAGUAGUGUACAUCAGUAGUAUACAUCAGUAGUAUACACCCAGUAGUAUACACCCAGUAGUAUACACCCAGUAGUAUACACCCAGUAGUAUACAUCCAGUAGUGUACAUCAGUAGUGUACACCCAGUAGUGUACACCCAGUAGUGUACACCCAAUAGUAUACACCCAAUACUAUACACCCAGUAGUAUACACCCAGUAGUAUACACCCAAUAGUAUACACCCAAUAGCAUACACCCAGUAGUAUACACCCAGUAGUGUACACCCAGUAGAGUACACCCAGUAGAGUACACCCAGUAGUUUUUUUUUUUAUUAGUAAAGUGUUAGUAGUAUA
rnacentral:lncRNA from 1 species